CCUACGGGAGGCAGCAGUGGGGAAUAUUGCACAAUGGGGGGAACCCUGAUGCAGCGACGCCGCGUGGGUGAAGGAGUAUUUCGGUAUGUAAAGCCCUAUCAGCAGGGAAGAACAAUGACGGUACCUGACUAAGAAGCACCGGCUAAAUACGUGCCAGCAGCCGCGGUAAUACGUAUGGUGCAAGCGUUAUCCGGAUUUACUGGGUGUAAAGGGAGCGCAGGCGGCGCGUUAAGCCUGGUGUGAAAGCCCGGGGCCCAACCGCGGGACUGCAUUGGGAACUGGCGCGCUGGAGUGCCGGAGGGGUAGGCGGAAUUCCUAGUGUAGCGGUGAAAUGCGUAGAUAUUAGGAGGAACACCAGUGGCGAAGGCGGCCUACUGGACGGUGACUGACGCUGAGGGUCGAAAGCGUGGGGAGCAAACAGGAUUAGAUACCCGUGUAGUC
rnacentral:rRNA from 1 species